rnacentral:rRNA from 1 species
GGGAUACUGAUUGCUUAUUGCACCACAUGUGUUUUUUAUUGAACAAAUUUCUUUGGUGGCGGGAGCAAUCCUACCGCCAGAGGUUAUAACUAAACCAAACUUUUUAUUUACAGUCAAACUUGAUUUAUUAUUACAAUAGUCAAAACUUUCAACAACGGAUCUCUUGGUUCUCGCAUCGAUGAAGAACGCAGCGAAAUGCGAUACGUAAUAUGAAUUGCAGAUAUUCGUGAAUCAUCGAAUCUUUGAACGCACAUUGCGCCCUUUGGUAUUCCAAAGGGCAUGCCUGUUUGAGCGUCAUUUCUCCCUCAAACCCCCGGGUUUGGUGUUGAGCAAUACGCUAGGUUUGUUUGAAAGAAUUUAACGUGGAAACUUAUUUUAAGCGACUUAGGUUUAUCCAAAAACGCUUAUUUUGCUAGUGGCCACCACAAUUUAUUUCAUAACUUUGACCUCAAAUCAGGUAGGACUACCCGCUGAACUUAAGCAUAUCAAUAAGCGGAGGAA